rnacentral:lncRNA from 1 species
UUUAGAUCGAUGCACGAUCUAUUAAUUUAUUCUGAAUUUAAUCACUUGUCGAAGAUGUAAACACGUUUUGGCAGUUGGAAACUCCUACAGGUUGUCGAAUAACAGCGUCAAUACUUCGGAUUUUCUAGCACGACAGGAUAUCGAAGUAGAGGUAAAAAAUGGAAAUGAGAAAUAUCUAUAGGAACGUCAGUCGCGGUCGACGGUGCGCGACGUAAUGCCGGCGGCGCGGCUUCAGCCGCGUGUUCCGCGCAAGCGGCCCGGGGCACCCUAAGCCUUGCCAUUCCGACGCUCCCCACCCCCGACAUCGUCCUCCCGCCGCGCUUCGACAGUCCCAUAUCCCCACUGUCAGAUCGCCCGCCCUCCGAUCGUGUGGACUCGUUUUGUGACCAGUGUCCGUGUUUUCAUAUUUCUCGGCUUAUUUGUACAAGUUAUUUUGAUAGAAAAAAUGCGUGGCUAAUUUUCAACGAAUUUCUAAGCAACGUCCAAAUACUUGGAACUUGGAUUAUAUCAUACGAUUAAACUGAAUGUUACAUGAUUUACUUCGUCGAUAUAUUUGGUUUGUCAUGUUUUUUUCUUAAUUGAAUAGAGACACGCAAAUUAAGGUUAACUAAAAGGUUAAGUAGCGCCACGCCCGGUAGAAAAUAUUACGAUCUCGAUCGAUUGGACGUUCGAUAAUCGCUAGCUAUGAUUGCGAUUCUAGAAGUGAGCAUAAGAGACAAUGGCGUCGUUUCCAGUCACAUGUUUCGUAGUUUAUUGUAGUCGAAAUUAUAAUUUAUUUUAAUUUGUGCGUGUACACGAAUCUAAUAGAUUUAAGAACAGAGUGAUAUUAAAUAUAUACGAUUUGUAAUUAGUUUCAAAAACAAUUAUCUAAUUCAAUUUUUAAAGAAAAGUUCAAUAAUAUGAUACUAGAUUAAUCGCAAAGUGAUUCGUUGUUUCAACUUUUGAUGUAAAAAUAAGAAUAAUUUUAUCGACAUAGUAGAAGAAAAAGUUUCAUUGAAGGCCAUUCGUACAACGUGAAAGGUAGGUAAAUGCAAUAUUCCUGGCAAUACAGGAACAUAAUCAAGCAAAUCUAUCUCAAAUCGUUUUUCUUUUUUUUUUUGCAGUGGUCAUAUUUAAUGCUUAUACUAAUGUUUCAAAUAAUGUUUGAAUUGAAGUAUUCGAAAAAUUCGAAUGAAAAUGAAAAAAAAAAAGUAACGAAGUGUUUCAAUUUUUGAAGGUUAGCAAGAUCCAAGUGAUAAUCCAGUACUUCAGCAAGGCGUAACAAGUGUCUGUGUGACGUCACGCGGCUUUCUGGAGGCGGAGCCUGUGAUUGGGGGAGCAAGUGGGGGUGGGCUCUCCCGUAUCGUGGAUCGUUUGCCCCACCCUCGGGAUUUUGUUCCUUCGUACCACCGCUACUUUCAACCUCCUCCUUUUCUCUCCCUCGAUCUCUUUUCCUCUCUUUUGAAGUUUGUUCGGUGACCCCCCACCAACCUGUACUCCACCAGGUAGGAAGCUGUUACCUGUGAUAGCCAUUGCAAAAUGCAAUCCAGGUGGAACUUAUAGAACUGUAUAUUUGAUAUAUUUUUCUGUAAACUGGCGCCAGACUGUUAAUAAAGGUGCAAGGUUUUCUUUGAGCGAAA